UUAAACGGUGUAGCAAAUGGGGCAAGUCGCCGCCCCGUCGCGUCUAAGAUGGGGCGGGGUUUGGACGAGGAACCAUCCCUCUCUCUCCACCACCGAAGAAUACGCAAGGACCAGGAUUACGAUUGGGACCUUGAACGUAACAAACGUUCCCGUUCUCGAUCUUCGCGCUUCACUUAAAUUCCAGAACCCUUAUAGAUUUUUUUUUUUUUUUGCUGGUUUGAUUAUGGAUACAGAUAGGAGAAGAGGAAUCUUUCAAGUCUGGGUCCAUCUGAUUCGAGCGUGAUGGUAGUAUGAACCAGUAAAAGGUAUGUUGUAACUGGAGACAAGGAAAGUCUCUUUGCACUGCGCGGAGGAGCCCCGCUUGAAACUUUACUCUCCUCCAAGUCUUGCCACACUUAAAAUCGACUAUCGGUCUCAUGCAAACCCAUUAUACUGGUCGUCUGAUUAGCUUGAACAGCACUUCCAUCAUAUUUUCCCUAUUGUUUAGACAUAUAUCACGUAGGUUUGUUUUAUAAGUUUCUUGAACCUAUUCUUUGUGGUUUUUUUGGGAAAAAAUCAAUACUUUCAUGUCAAGAGCUGAAUAUCAUUUUCCUGUCUUUAAUCCCUUUUCAGUUAAAAUUAUUGGAUUAUUAUGAUUUCCUUGAAUUGAUUUCUUUAAUUUGGGAGAACAAUACUGGAGAUACGGCAUAGGCAGAGUCGGUUCUGCUGCUCAUCCUCCUCCUCUUCUUCCAUCAUCCACUGAUUGAGAUUUAUUAUUCAUUUUUUGUCAUCAGAAAUUCUAAAGCAAAAUGACAUUUCUAGAAUCCUACUCUUGUGUACUUUAUGAUCUUUCCCCUAGCUUUUCUAUAAUAAUUUUUUACCUCUUCUCAUUCUGCCUACACUUGCAGUUUGAAGUUUGAACUUUCUUUCUUCUGUUCCUUUUAUUUGUGUUUCUUCCUAUUGGGACUUUUAUCCAUACAGGAGGAGAAGCCUCAUUCCUUGUAAAUUGAAGACCAUCCCAUGACAAGCUGAUAUCUCAUACUUCCAUCUUUGAAUAUUAGAAAUUCUUAUUUUGUUUCUUAAGAUGUUAAAACUUCAAUUUUGUGCCAUUGUAGCUUGAUCAUGCAUUUGAACUGACUUUUGCACAAAAAAUAACAGUUAUUAUAAUGGCACAUGUUGGUUCCAUAUUUCUUUUUUUUUUCCCCUUAAUUUAUUGGAGCAUUGAUUGGAGUUUAUACUUGAAAGCAAAUUACAAUACAAAAGAAGAGGAAAGGUAGAUUGCAUUUAGCCUAUAUAAGUGUAACAUAUAAGCUGUAUAAGAUAGUUAUUCAGCCUUAAGCAUCAAGAAUUUACUUUCUAUUGAAAAUUUUUUAGCAGUGGCUUCACUGUAUCUUAGAUCUGCAUUACGUUAUACUUUUCCAUACUUGAAAGAUUUUUGAAUAAUUAUCAAGCACUCAAUGUUAUGAUAUUUAGGUAGAAUAAGGUCUUUGAACACUAUUGAUGGUAAACAUGAUGGUCUUAUCUCUUCCUAGCUUUGUGUGAUGCAUAGAAAUUGGAAAAGAAAUUUCAUCACAGCAGCUUGAACUUAUAAUAAUCCACACUUGAGAAAGCAACUAAUUCUUUUGAUGAAGCCAACAAGCUUAAACAAAGUGAAUUAGCCACAUUGUAUAAGGUUGUAAUUCUACGGACAUGUAUAAUCUACACUAUUCUAGAAAAUUUAAAAUGUUAUCAUAAAUAUUGAUGUCUAAGCUAAACACUUUUGUUCUUUCAGGGAGUUUUGCAAGAUGGAAGAAAUAUUGCUGUAAAGAGGCUUUUCUUUAACAAAAGCCAUAGAGCAGUUGAUUUCUAUGACGAAGGUACUUCCUUCCAUGACGUCCACUAGCAAUUCAAAAAGCAUUUGAGAGGAUGAAGACAAAGAAGAGGAGGAGCUUUCCUUGCAGUCUGAUAUCAAAACCAAUGAAGUAUCCCAGCCUGAUAAGCAUGUGUCGAAUAAGGUAAGUCAGACAAUGUUGCGAUCGAAAGACUGUUACUAAUGCUUCGUAUGUUUAAUGCAGGGCUCGGAGGAGAAUGUACCUGGUUCUUUCCAACCUGAAUUCUUGAAAUGUCAUGCGAAGCCAAAUCAAUGUGGAGGUCAGAUGAGAGUACCAGAAACAGAAGGAUGGUCGAAAAACAGGUAGCUUUAAAACCAUGAAUUGACAAAAGAUCUAAAAGCAAAAUGAAAGCCUUUUGAUCUUUAGAAUAAUUUUUAUUUCUGAAGAAAUUGUUUAUUCCUCUAUGGCUUAAUAUUGUUUUCAAAGCUGAUGUGUCUAGUGUUGGGAAAAAAGAAGAAGAAAAGUUCACUUUAUUUUCUGAAUCUAACCCCAAUGUCGAACUGUAAUAGACGCUUGGGAAUCAGCUGAAAUAUUACGAGCUUAGUCAGUCCUUUUUUUUUUUUUUUUAUCGAGCAUCAGAGGUUGUUGAACUUUGGAAUCCCACUUCUAUUCUGGCAAUAUGAAGCGUCUUCAGUA